rnacentral:rRNA from 1 species
CGGCAUGGCGGGGCGCUUAUACAUGCAAGUCGAGCGAACAGAGAAGGAGCUUGCUCCUUCGACGUUAGCGGCGGACGGGUGAGUAACACGUGGGCAACCUACCUUAUAGUUUGGGAUAACUCCGGGAAACCGGGGCUAAUACCGAAUAAUCUGUUUCACCUCAUGGUGAAACACUGAAAGACGGUUUCGGCUGUCGCUAUAGGAUGGGCCCGCGGCGCAUUAGCUAGUUGGUGAGGUAACGGCUCACCAAGGCGACGAUGCGUAGCCGACCUGAGAGGGUGAUCGGCCACACUGGGACUGAGACACGGCCCAGACUCCUACGGGAGGCAGCAGUAGGGAAUCUUCCACAAUGGGCGAAAGCCUGAUGGAGCAACGCCGCGUGAGUGAAGAAGGAUUUCGGUUCGUAAAACUCUGUUGUAAGGGAAGAACAAGUACAGUAGUAACUGGCUGUACCUUGACGGUACCUUAUUAGAAAGCCACGGCUAACUACGUGCCAGCAGCCGCGGUAAUACGUAGGUGGCAAGCGUUGUCCGGAAUUAUUGGGCGUAAAGCGCGCGCAGGUGGUUUCUUAAGUCUGAUGUGAAAGCCCACGGCUCAACCGUGGAGGGUCAUUGGAAACUGGGAGACUUGAGUGCAGAAGAGGAUAGUGGAAUUCCAAGUGUAGCGGUGAAAUGCGUAGAGAUUUGGAGGAACACCAGUGGCGAAAGCGACUAUCUGGUCUGUAACUGACACUGAGGCGCGAAAGCGUGGGGAGCAAACAGAUUAGAUACCCUGGUAGUCCACGCCGUAAACGAUGAGUGCUAAGUGUUAGGGGUUUCCGCCCCUUAGUGCUGCAGCUAACGCAUUAAGCACUCCGCCUGGGGAGUACGGUCGCAAGACUGAAACUCAAGAAUUGACGGGGGCCCGCACAAGCGGUGGAGCAUGUGUUGAAUCGAAGCAACGCGAGAACUACCAGUCUGACAUCCCGUGACACUGUAGAGAUAUAGUUUCCCUCGGGCAACGUGACGUGUGCAUGGUGUCGUCACCUCUGUCUGAGAUGUGGUAAGUCCUCACAAGGCAACCUGACCUAUUGCAUCACUUAUUGGCACUCUAAGAGAACUGCCGGACACACAAGAAGUUGGAGAUAGAGUCAAGUAUACUAUGCCUAGGUACUGCGUACGGUUCCAAUGGAUCUAACGGUUCAACUUCGAAAGGAGCAAGUCGCUCGA